ACAACUCGUAACGGUGGAUGUCUCGGCUCCUACAUCGAUGAAGAACGUAGCAAACUGACGAACUCGUGAAUCAUCAAAUUUUUGAACGCAAGUGCGCUCGCGGGUAACUCUGCGAGCAUGUCUGUUUGAGUGUC
rnacentral:rRNA from 1 species